rnacentral:rRNA from 1 species
AUGUCUUGCCUCGCCGCGUCCUCGGCGACGCCGCCAGCGUCAAGGCCUACGGCCCAGCGUCUGUUUGUUGCGGUGGCCGCUCCUCCCCGUUGGCGGUCCGUUGAGCCUCAUCGCGCUGUAUGGAGGAGUGAAGGCCCCCGGGCUCUAACGAUGCUACGGAGGUGCUCUCCCGCCGGCGACUCCAGGGCGCCCGGAGACGGCAGCCUAUCCAGUUUUUGCAUUAUUGAAGGCCCAGAGACAAUACAAGACUUCGUUCAGAUGCAAUCACAAGAGAUUCAAGACAACAUCAAGAGUCGGCGCAGCAAAAUAUUCCUUUUGAUGGAAGAGGUCAGACGACUGCGGGUGCAGCAGCGAAUCAGAGCUGCUGAAAGCAGAUGUUCCAGCAGUGAAGAAAAUGAGAUGCCGGAGAUGCCAUCUACCAUUCCGUUUUUGCCUUAUACGUCACCAAAGACAAUGAAGCAACUCUACUUGACAUCAUUCUCUUUCAUAUCUGGGAUAAUCAUUUUUGGUGGCUUAAUAGCCCCAAUACUUGAACUGAAAUUAGGGCUUGGUGGUACCUCUUAUGAAGAUUUUAUACGGAACAUGUAUUUACCUCUUCAGUUAAGUCAGGUAGAUCCCAUAGUGGCGUCCUUUUCAGGUGGUGCAGUUGGUGUAAUUUCAGCCUUAAUGUUGGUUGAAGUGAAAAAUGUGAGGCAGCAAGAAAAGAACAGAUGCACAUAUUGCCAUGGGACAGGAUACCUGCCAUGUGCCCGUUGCUCUGCCAGCAAAAUGUUGUUGGGCACCAAACGCUUUUCACUUUCUACAACUGAACGCUGUUCCAAUUGUUCAGGAGCUGGGAAGGUGAUGUGCCCAACAUGCUUGUGCACGGGAAUGGCAAUGGCAAGUGAGCAUGACCCACGUAUAGAUCCCUUUGACUAA